UUUCAAAACCCACUGAGAUCCACGAUGGCAAACCACCAGGAAAGUAACCUUAACAUUCCAAAUGACCUGAGCUCUGCCCAAGAUGUGCAGCAGUUCUCCUUCUCUAGCCCUACAACGUUGAAUAACCAAACGCCUAUUCCUCUUAAUCCCUCGCCAAGCUUGGCAGGGAAUACUCCCACCAUGACUCUGUCUAACCAGGACAUUCAAACUAUGGCCCUCCAGCUACAGACUACUGCUCACUGGUUGGGGCAGAUAAUGCAACAGAGGGGCCUUAGCACCCCAGUAAGUGCACUCCCAGUAGUGGAGGAACCCAGAACCAAUGAACCCCGACCU
rnacentral:lncRNA from 1 species